AAACUCCACUGUCAUAACAUCCAGUCUCCCAGCCAGAGCACGGAGCAGAGCCUCAAAACUAGACAAAUUAUCAUCAAUUUACAAAUAAAGAAAAUGUUAAAAAAGAAAUCCCUUAUCUGAAAAUUAUCGCAGAAGUCUCCGUCUGAGACAAACAGAACUGAGGAAGCGUCAUCAAGACCAAAGAUCUGUUGGUUGACCACCGUGGACCACAUAUAUCUGGACACAUCACUUCAGGAACCUUGCUCCACAGAUCUAAGGAAGGAAAAAGGAGGAAGCAUUUACAAGGGAUGAGGAGUGGAGACUGCUGAGCCAAGCUGCCUACAGUGUGUGACAGGGAUGCGGCUUCCGGGAGUCUGCACCAGUGUUCGGUGGAUGUAGUCACCUUGUUCUCCACGCUCUUCAGCUUACAUAGUAUCCUCCAGAACAACGAGAGCUAAACUUCGGGUAGAAGACUUCCAG